UCUUUUUCCUCUGAAGUGUCACGUGAUUUCAUCAGCUGAAUGGGGGAGUUAGCAACGGCUUUGAGCUGCAUGGCUUCCGGGAAGCUGCUUUCGUGUAUCCUCGCUCAUAGCUCCUCAGAGAUCCCUCCUCCAUCCUCGCCCUUCGGGGCAGGAAUAAGAUCUUUGAGAUGGCUUUCGCCGAGGAGGGG